GGGAUGAGUAGAGUGGCGGACGGGUGAGUAACGCGUAGGAAUCUAUCCUGUAGUGGGGGAUAACGUUUCGAAAGGAACGCUAAUACCGCAUACGCCCCAAGGGGGAAAGCGGGGGAUCUUCGGACCUCGUGCUAUAGGAGGAGCCUGCGUCGGAUUAGCUAGUUGGUGAGGUAAAGGCUCACCAAGGCGACGAUCCGUAGCUGGUCUGAGAGGAUGAUCAGCCACACCGGAACUGAGACACGGUCCGGACUCCUACGGGAGGCAGCAGUGGGGAAUAUUGCGCAAUGGGCGAAAGCCUGACGCAGCCAUACCGCGUGUGUGAAGAAGGCCUUCGGGUUGUAAAGCACUUUCAGUGGGGAGGAAAAGCUGGUGGCUAAUAUCCAUCGGCCGUGACGCUACCCACAGAAGAAGCACCGGCUAAUUCCGUGCCAGCAGCCGCGGUAAUACGGAAGGUGCGAGCGUUAAUCGGAAUUACUGGGCGUAAAGCGCACGUAGGUGGCUUGGUAAGUCGGAUGUGAAAGCCCCGGGCUCAACCUGGGAACUGCAUUCGAUACUGCCGAGCUAGAGUACGAAAGAGGGGGGUGGAAUUCCAGGUGUAGCGGUGAAAUGCGUAGAGAUCUGGAGGAACACCAGUGGCGAAGGCGGCCCCCUGGUUCGAUACUGACGCUGAGGUGCGAAAGCGUGGGGAGCAAACAGGAUUAGAUACCCUGGUAGUCCACGCCGUAAACGAUGUCUGCUAGCCGUUGGGAUCCUUGAGGUUUCGGUGGCGCAGCUAACGCGAUAAGCAGACCGCCUGGGGAGUACGGCCGCAAGGUUAAAACUCAAAUGAAUUGACGGGGGCCCGCACAAGCGGUGGAGCAUGUGGUUUAAUUCGAUGCAACGCG
rnacentral:rRNA from 1 species